AUUGAGAGCAAAGAGGAAUUAUCUCAUGUUCCCCUACAAUAGAUGUAGUUAUGGUGUUCAAAUUUGGUUUCCACAAAUAUGAUGGAAUCAAUACACCUAGAAGAGUUGUAGCAAUGACAUACCCAGCAUAACAGCUUGAAUCAUGGAUGAGUUGAGGUUCUUUCGUGUUGGAGAUGAUGCAUUGAUGUUUAUGCACAAGAAUCAAUCCAUUCUGUGAACUGCAUAAAUUCCUGUUUGUAUAUACAUUAGAUAUACAUCCCAUGUAAUAGUCUGAGAAUUAAUUUUCAUCUUCCCCUCAAAGCAUCUUAUUAUUAGAUUCUCUAUAGAUUUCUUGUCCAUUACUGCUGCUCCUCAAUCGCAUCUCUAUGAGAUUGGCAAUCCCACUUCCCAAUAAUUUAGCUCAUGAGAUCACACUCUUUGCAUGAAUUCCCCAAGGGAACUGCUUUAAUAUUUCUAGAUAAGCUCCAUCAAGCUUUUAUAGAUCAAUGAAAACCUCAUGCUUCAUAAAUUUCCCUUAUCCCUUUGACUAGAUGCACUUGUUCCUCCACCUAUUCCAACAUUCACCACAGGACUCCAAUCAAGUUGCAGUAACUAAGACUUCCUGAGCCUCAUAGUACCGCCCCUCUAAAAUCCCUAGAGGCUAGGCAGAUAACUACUCCCCUUCUUAGACCUCUUAUCUACAAUUGACCAUCCCCACUCACACGAGUGCCCCAGAUACAUCAGCCACUCUAGCUCCUCAAUGCAGAACAUACCAUCCUCUUAUUAAACUACUUAUAUGAUCGAACUGCAUUGCCAUUAACGACAUUAAUUUUAUGAAAUAGUUUCCUUUUUUCCCAUCUUGUUUUAAGUCAGUUCCUUCUUCAUGUUUUUAUACCACCCCUUGUUGCUAUUUUCAUUCUCUCACAUAUAUGCUUAGUAGUUCUCAUUAACAACUUCCUUUUUCUGGGUUUGCACCUUCAACCUUGUCAUAUUAACUCCUGCUUAAGCAAACUUUGCCCUGACGUGUGCUCUCAUCCUUCACCUAUGCUCUCUCCUUUUUUUUCUUCAUCUGUCUCCUAAGGCUGUAACUAACAUUGUUGUGCACCUUGAUAACUCCAUUCAAUGUUCUCUAACUCCCAAAUAUGACUGUUAUUGAUAUAGGUACAACUUGUCACUGUGAUUUAUGUAUGCAAGUUGUUGGCUUGCCUGUGGAUGAUCCUCUCCCACAUCAGAACUUCCAUUUUCCCAAGUUGAGAAAAUGCCCUCCCUCUUAUCACUGCUCUUUUGCCCUCAUGCGCAACUCCAACCGCACCUCGUAGUCACCCUUGUUGCCACCAGUGAUGCUGCCCAUGGCAUGGCGAGCCAAUAUCCUUACCCUUGAGCACCAGUGCUGCUACCAUGAAGCAGCCAAGUCGAUGUCCUUACCCCUACUGCUGUUGGGAUGUUGUCCAUGAAAUAGCUGAGCCAACAUCCUUCUCACUUUUGUUGCCUACAUCCAUGUCUUGCCCACGAGGCCCUAUCUCUUUAUAGAGAGUAGAAGUAAU
rnacentral:lncRNA from 1 species